CCUACGGGGGGCAGCAGUGAGGAAUAUUGGUCAAUGGACGCGAGUCUGAACCAGCCAAGUAGCGUGAAGGAUGACUGCCCUAUGGGUUGUAAACUUCUUUUAUAUGGGAAUAAAAUGUUCCACGUGUGGGAUUUUGUAUGUACCAUAUGAAUAAGGAUCGGCUAACUCCGUGCCAGCAGCCGCGGUAAUACGGAGGAUCCGAGCGUUAUCCGGAUUUAUUGGGUUUAAAGGGAGCGUAGGUGGAUUGUUAAGUCAGUUGUGAAAGUUUGCGGCUCAACCGUAAAAUUGCAGUUGAAACUGGCAGUCUGGAGUACAGUAGAGGUAGGCGGAAUUCGUGGUGUAGCGGUGAAAUGCUUAGAUAUCACGAAGAACUCCGAUUGCGAAGGCAGCUCACUGGACUGCAACUGACAUUGAGGCUCGAAAGUGUGGGUAUCAAACAGGAUUAGAUACCCCAGUAGUC
rnacentral:rRNA from 1 species